CUCUUCUCUUACUUCUAAAUUCUACGUCUAACCCUUGCAGCAUGACUCUCACCGCCCCGCCGCACCUGUACUUCAGCCCCGCCGCACUUGGACCUCACCCCAUAUGGUUGCCAAGAAUCAGAUUCCGGGGAGAUGGUGGUUGGACUAGCUAGAGGAAUUAUCUUUGAUGAAACCGGUAAGGAGUUAUCAAAAACUAGCUGCUGGUGGGAGAGGCUGGGGUUGCCAAACCAAAAUGAAGGUCAAGCAAAUGCUUCACCAAACCAUAGAUCUGUUGUACUCUAAUGGACCAACUUCUGUUAAUGAUUACACUCGUCUUGUGCUUCAUUGUGCUCGAGCCAAUGACUUCAUUCAAGCAAAGCGACUGCAGUCUCACAUGGAACUUCACCUUUUUCAACCCAAAGAUUCCUUCAUCCACAACCAACUCAUCCAUUUGUAUGCCAAACUGGGCAAGCUCGCAGAUGCUCAAAACGUGUUUGAUAACAUGACUAAGAGAGAUGUUUAUUCUUGGAAUGCCUUGCUUUCUGCUUAUGCAAAGAUGGGCACGGUUGAGAAUUUACAUGUUGUCUUUGAUCAAAUGCCUUAUCGCGAUACUAUUUCAUAUAACACAUUAAUUGCAUAUUUUGCUAGUAAUGGACAUUCAGGCAAAGCAUUAGAAGUUCUUACGAGAAUGCAGGAAGAGGGGUUUCAGCCUACCCAUCACUCCUAUGUGAAGGCAUUGCAAGCAUGUUCUCAGCUUUUGGAUUUGAGGCAUGGGAAACAGAUUCAUGGAAAGAUUGUUGUUACUGAUUUGGAAGGAAAUACUUUUGUAAGGAAUGCUGUGACUGAUAUGUAUGCCAGAUGUGGUGAUAUAGAUAGGGCACGGUGGUUGUUUGAUCGAAUGAUUAAUAAAAAUGUUGUUUCAUGGAAUCUCAUGAUCUCUCGGUAUGUAAAAUUGGGAAAACCUGGUGAGUGCAUACAUUUGUUUGGUGAAAUGCAGUUGUCAGCUUUGAAACCUGACGUAGUAACAGUUUCAAAUGUUCUCAAUGCUUACUUUCAAUGUGGACGUGUAGAAGAUGCAAGAAAUAUAUUUAGCAAAUUACCGAAUAAAGAUGAAAUUUCUUGGACAACCAUGAUAGUUGGUUAUGCUCAAAAUGGAAGAGAGGAGGAUGCUUUGAUGUUGUUUGGGGACAUGCUACGUAGAAAUGUUAAACUUGACUGUUACACCAUUUCUAGUGUGAUUUGCUCCUGUGCUAAACUAGCUUCGUUGUACCAUGGUCAAGUUGUCCACGGAAAAGUAAUUUUAGUGGGCGUUGAGAAUGACAUGCUUGUAUCAAGUGCCCUUGUUGAUAUGUACUCCAAAUGUGGAAUCACUUUGGCUGCCUGGGUCGUUUUUGAAACUAUGCCUAUUAGGAAUGUCGUCACUUGGAAUGCCAUGAUUCUGGGUUAUGCACAAAAUGGACAGGUUCCUGAGGCCUUGGCUUUGUUUGAAAGAAUGCAACAAGAAAAUUUCAAACCUGAUAGUAUUACUUUUGUGGCUGUCUUAUCUGCUUGUAUCAAUGCUGAUAUGGUAAAAGAAGGACAGAAAUAUUUUGAUUCUAUUAGUGUACAAGGAAUGACACCCACAUUGGAUCACUAUGCAUGUAUGGUCACUCUCCUUGGUAGGUCAGGUAGAAUUGAUAAAGCAGUGGAUCUAAUUCAAGGUAUGCCUCACGAACCAAGUUGCCGUAUUUGGUCCACGUUACUAUCUGUUUGUACCAAAGCUGACCUAAAGAGUGCAGAGUUGGCAGCUAAUCAUCUCUUUAAAUUGGAUCCACAUAAUGCUGGACCUUACAUAAUGCUUUCCAAUUUGUAUGCUGCUUGCGGAAGAUGGAAAGAUGUAGCUGUUGUAAGAUCUCUCAUGAAGGAAAAGAGUGCAAAGAAGCUUGCGGCCUACAGUUGGGUUGAGGUUGGGAAUGAAGUCCACAGAUUUGUUUCAGAAGAUCACUCUCAUCCAGAAGUGGGAAAAAUCUAUGGAGAAUUGAACAGAUUGAUCACAAUAUUUCGACAAAUUGGUUAUAAUCCUGAUAUAAACAUUGUCCUACACAAUGUGGGAGAGGAAGAAAAAUUUAGAUCCAUUUCCUACCACAGUGAGAAACUUGCUCUUGCAUUUGCUUUAAUUAGAAAGCCCAAUGGGAUUGCACCAAUACGGAUCAUAAAGAACAUACGUGUCUGUGAUGACUGCCAUGUAUUUAUGAAGUUUGCAUCAGUUACUAUAGGGCGACCAAUCAUUAUGAGAGAUUCAAACAGGUUUCAUCAUUUCUUUGAUGGGAAGUGUUCUUGCAAGGACAAUUGGUAAAGUCUCAAUCAGAUGGUUAACUGCUUUACUUUAACUAUUUCUAAAAGGAAGGGUGCUAGCGAUGUAAUAUGCACUUUAUCCAUUCUAAAAGAUUAUGAAACAAGGGAGAAAGUUAUGAUACGGUUCAAGACUUCCUAGUAUUAAAGCAGGUCUGUUGCACAAGAAUACUAGGUGAGAAGUACAAGUUACAGCAUUACCUCGAUGAAAAUUUCGUGGCAGCAAUGCAAUUUAAGAUGUUUUGGACUAUGAGACAAUUGCAGGGAAAUUGGAGCUAAAUAUUGUUUGUGACUUAUUCUAUUCAAUAUUUUGGUAGAUGCAAUCUAUACCUUCAGGAAACUCUUGCGGUUCCAUCACCUUCAAUUUUUCUUACAGUUGUUUGUUUCUUAGUAGGGAUGAACAUAACAGUCAGCACCACCUGAAUGCGAUUGGAUCUUAAAUCUUAAGUUGUCAUCUCUAGUAUCAAUGCCUGAAUUCAUUGAUACGCCUGCUUUCGUAAUCUCCACCAAGGGUUCUAUGCAUUUGACUUUUGCGAUAGGUCCUGUCCCUCUUAACUAAGAUGUGGUCCAGGCAGCUCUUUUAUGGUAAGUAGUGCUUAAAUUGGUUUCAAUUUUGAGUAUCAUUCUUAAAUAAUUAUUGGGUCAUUAU